rnacentral:rRNA from 1 species
AUAUUGUACAAUGGGGGCAACCCUGAUCCAGCAAUGCCGCGUGAGUGAAGAAGGCCUNNNGGUUGNACAGCUCUUUUACCCGGNAAGNUAAUGACUGUACCGGGAGAAUAAGCCCCGGCUAACUCCUUUCCAGCAGCCGCGGUAAUACGGAGGGGGCUAGCGUUGUUCGGAAUUACUGGGCGUAAAGCGCGCGUAGGCGGCUUGCCAAGUUGGGGGUGAAAUCCCGGGGCUUAACCCCGGAAUUGCCCUCAAAACUGGCAGGCUUGAGGUCGAGAGAGGUAAGGGGAAUUCCUAGUGUAGAGGUGAAAUUCGUAGAUAUUAGGAAGAACACCAGUGGCGAAGGCGCCUUACUGGCUCGAUUCUGACGCUGAGGUGCGAAAGCGUGGGGAGCAAACA